GGGAGGGAGGACUGGGUCCCUUCUCCUCCAGUCCCAUCUCCCUUUCCUGGGGGUGGGGCAUUGUGUCUCCUUCAUAACGUUGGAGAGUCCCACUGGAAAGGGGAUGCUGGUGGGAAGGACAGGGUGGAGUUGCUCUUGGUGGGAAGGUAGGAGGGGCUGGCUGCACAAAUCAGCGAGGUCUUCUCUGGUGUGGGCACUGGGUGUUUCAAAGGCUGUUCUCCAGAGUCCUGUGUGCUGGUGUGAGAUGUGAGUUGGUGGAGUGUUCACUUGAAGGGAAGGGAGAAGCUGGGGUCUGGAGGCUACAGAUGCAGACACUCGGGGAAGGAGCUCCGACCCACACCUGCUGUGUGAUCUUGGGUGGGUGUCUCAACCUCUCUGGACCUCUGUCAGUUGAUCUGUGAGACAGGAGGUUUGGUCUAAAUGAUCUCUAGAUUUGGACAGCAGUGCUGCCCUUGACGUAACUGGAAUAGAGGUCUCCAGCUGGGCUGAGGGCUGGACCUGGGGUUCCUCCUUUCAUGCUAGGGCUGCUGGCAUGUCUGUGGGUGAUGAGUCCAUUGAGGAAAUGGAGUGGGUUGACUAGAACUAUUUCCGUUCCCUUCCUCAUUGUGUUACCCUUACUGCUGUCCAGUCCACAAGUGAGGUCCUUAAUCAGGGCUUUGCGAUUGAGUGAACUUAACAGUAUAAUCCAGUUCUAUACAUGCCACAGGAGUUGUUUUAAAUUUUCUAGUAGCCAUUAAGCUUAAUGUGUGGCUAAUUUCCCAUCUCAUUGUCAUAAAAAGGUAAAAAAAAAAAGUGAAAUUAAUUAUAAGAGUAUAUUUUAGUUAACCCUUUAUAUCCAAAGUGUUCUUUUUAAUACACAAUCUAGGGGGAGGGUAUAGCUCAGUGGUAGAGCACAUGCUUAGCAUACACGAGGUCCUGGGUUCAAUUCCCAGUACCUCCAUUUAAAUAAAUAAAUAAAUAAAUAAACAAACCUAAUCCCCCCCCCCCCGCAAACAACACAAUCAAUCUAAACAAGUUGUUCUUGAGAUAUUUUACGAUUUUUUUCCACCACAGAUCUUCAAAAUCUGGUGUAUCUUGUACUUACAACCCAUCUCAAUUUGGACUAGCUGUAUUUUAAGCGCUCAAUAACCACAUGUGGCUAGUCUCCCUUGUCUUUCAUAAUUGCUCGCAACCUCAGUUUAACGCGUGCUGAAUAUUCCAUCUCAUCACCAUGCCCUGCAUUAAUUUAUUAUUUCCCACUUUGGGACACUCAGGGUGUUUUCUGGACUCCCCUGCUGUGAAUAACACCACAGUUACAUCUCUGCAGCUCAUACCUGUCCAUUGUCAAUGGACAUUGGGUGUUGGCCUGGCCCCAUGAGUCACCAGGUCCCUGUGAUGCUCGCCGACUGCCCAGACUACAAUGACCAGGUUGAGGGCUCCCACGGAGAUUGCCCCCACAGCGCAGUUCUUGCUGUGGUACUUGGAGUUGCUCUGAAGGCCAAAGAUGGGGUCCCACUCCUUCCACGGCAGCGUCCUUGGGAAGUGGAAGUUGCUAGGAGCUUGUGCUGUGUCCUUCUCUUUGCUGGCUUCUCUUGGGCAGGUGGCAUUCACUGAGCCUGGCUUUCCUCCUUGUAAGUGAGGCUGCUGGGUGGGGGCAGUGAGGCCCGCAGUGGCCCUGGAAGGCCUUCUGUAGGUCUUGGUCCCCGUCCUGCUACCUGACAUCCCUUCAGAGCCACCGGUCCUUCUCCGGCCGGAACUCUGAAAUUCUGAUGGUUGCCAGUUUCAUAAAUGUUUGUGGUUCUUAAGGUGAUUAAGAUAAUGUAUGUGAAACACUGAGCAUGGUACCUGGCAUAUAGUUGGUGCUCCAAAGUGGUGGUUAUUUAUGUCAUAGUUAUGUUGUUAUUCAGUCUGUCUCUUUCCAGAGAGGACUGGAGGCAGUUUGUAAAAAGCAAGUUUCUCGAGAUCCAUGGGGCUGUCAGAGAAACCCUUUGGUCUUGGCAAAGCUGUCUCUGACUUCGGCAGGUGUCUGCAUGGAUGGGGAAGGGGUGGGUGGGCCGGCGGGGUUGGUGGGCACUUCUGUCCUGCUGGGUUACCGUGGGAAAGGCCGGCACAGGGCUUCAUGCAGUUGAGGAAGAUGCCCCCAACCAUGUGCCCAGCUUUGGCAAUCAAAGCGCUUCCCGUACGUAUAACGUCUCCUCUGAUCCUUGGUCAUCCCGGUAGUAGCUGCAGUUUUUAUUGCUGUUUGGUUUGCCUGAGGUCAUAGAGCAAUUGGUGGGAUUCACACCUGGCUUCGUCUGGACUCUGCUUUGCUUUUCUGCCUCCCACAUGAUCGUGAGGAAUAAUAACAGUCACAGUCACCUACGGCUGCAGAGGACGUGUCACACCGCGCCUCACACGAUCGCCCGCUCCCCAGCGGGCGCGCGGGCUAGCGUUCCCAGUCCUCCCUGCUGCCCACGCCCUCGCAGGCACUGGCAGGGCUCUCAGAACACACCGUCUGUGCAUCCGCCUCCUUCAUUCAUUCGCUGCCAAGCACGCCCCAAACGUUGUGGGGCUGGAGUGAUGUCCGCUCGGAAGCCCACCUGCCGAUUGUCUGGAUGUUGAAAGUGAAAAAUCAAGCUAACAAGCUUUCCCACGAAGUGGGUUCUGUCCUUCUUGACAGGUGUACCUCCACAGGGAUAAAACUGAACGCUGUGAAAUUGAAGGCUGGCCGGUAUCAGAGACAGCUGAGGCUAGAAAUUUGUCUCGGGGAGCACUAGUCUAAAGGAUUGAAGUGAAUGAUAUAAUACAACCCUGCACCAAAUAUAAAUUAAACCAAAGAGUUCGGUGUCCACCUAGUUGCCAAAGUGAAGAACAAGACUCUCGCCUGAGGCAAGUUACGUCUAGUCCUGCACACAUUCAAGUUCAG